rnacentral:antisense_RNA from 1 species
CUUCACCGAGCCCAGCAGCAGGGGCCGCGCGCGGUCCUGACCGUAGGUGGCCAGCAGCGCCCCGGCCUC